rnacentral:tRNA from 1 species
GCCCUGGUGGUCUAGCAAGGAUAGGGCGCCCGCCUGCGGAGCGGGAAAUCGCGGGUUCAAAUCCCGCCCAGGGCA